rnacentral:rRNA from 1 species
CCUACCAAGGCGAUGAUGCAUAGCCGAGUUGAGAGACUGAUCGGCCACAUUGGGACUGAGACACGGCCCAAACUCCUACGGGAGGCAGCAGUAGGGAAUCUUCCACAAUGGACGCAAGUCUGAUGGAGCAACGCCGCGUGAGUGAAGUAAGGGUUUCGGCUCGUAAAGCUCUGUUGUUGGUGAAGAAGGACGAGGGGGUAGUAACUGUACCUUUGUUUUGACGGUAAUCAAUUAGAAAGUCACGGGCUAACUACGUGCCAGCAGCCGCGGUAAAU